rnacentral:ncRNA from 1 species
GAGGUCUGCAAAUUGGAUCCGUAACCUUGAAGGAGGCAUUGGCUUUAGGGGUCAAGUCACACAGGCCGAGAUCAGAUACCUGGAGGUCCAGUUGAAGACUGGUUUCUCUGCUGUUUUGUGUCCUUCUGUGAGCAUUGUUAUGGAGUUACCGGACCCUGACCGUGGUCGAUCGUGGGCGCCUUUAGCUAUUAUAGUUGUAUGGUGAGCAACGCGCGUGGAUUUGCUCUGCGUUGUGUCAAGAUUCUGUGCUUCUAUCAUUUGGCGCUCGACGGCUAACUUCAGACUGGCACGGACCAUGGGAGUCCGGCUGUUUAAUUAAAACAAAUCAUCGCGGCGUCCACUGCCCAGUCAUGACGCAAUGAGAUUUCCGCCCGAUGCUCUGAAUAUCAAAAACAGGAAAUUCAAAUAAGCUCAGCUAAACGGCGGAAGUAACUAUGGUCAACUACCAAUGCGCUGAUCCUUCAUAAUGAACCAUAUGUGUCUACCAAAACUGU